rnacentral:rRNA from 1 species
CGCGGGAAAUUCACGAACGCUGGCGGCAGGCUUAACACAUGCAAGUCGAACGCCCCGCAAGGGGAGUGGCAGACGGGUGAGUAACGCGUGGGAAUCUACCCAAUUCUUCGGAACAACACAUGGAAACGUGUGCUAAUACCGAAUGAGCCCUUCGGGGGAAAGAUUUAUCGGAAUUGGAUGAGCCCGCGUUGGAUUAGCUAGUUGGUGGGGUAAAGGCCUACCAAGGCGACGAUCCAUAGCUGGUCUGAGAGGAUGAUCAGCCACACUGGGACUGAGACACGGCCCAGACUCCUACGGGAGGCAGCAGUGGGGAAUAUUGGACAAUGGGCGCAAGCCUGAUCCAGCCAUGCCGCGUGAGUGAUGAAGGUCUUAGGAUUGUAAAGCUCUUUCACCGGUGAAGAUAAUGACGGUAACCGGAGAAGAAGCCCCGGCUAACUUCGUGCCAGCAGCCGCGGUAAUACGAAGGGGGCUAGCGUUGUUCGGAUUUACUGGGCGUAAAGCGCACGUAGGCGGACUUUUAAGUCAGGGGUGAAAUCCCGGGGCUCAACCCCGGAACUGC